rnacentral:rRNA from 1 species
CGCGGCCUAUCAGCUUGUUGGUGAGGUAACGGCUCACCAAGGUAACGACGGGUAGCUGGUCUGAGAGGACGAUCAGCCACACUGGGACUGAGACACGGCCCAGACUCCUACGGGAGGCAGCAGCAGGGAAUAUUGCACAAUGGGCGCAAGCCUGAUGCAGCGACGCCGCGUGAGGGAUGAAGGCCCUCGGGUUGUAAACCUCUUUCAGGAGGGACGAAGCGAAAGUGACGGUACCUCCAGAAGAAGCCCCGGCCAACUACGUGCCAGCAGCCGCGGUACUACGUAGGGGGCGAGCGUUGUCCGGAUUCAUUGGGCGUAAAGAGCUCGUAGGCGGCUCAGUAAGUCGGCCGUGAAAGCCCGGAGCUCAACUCCGGGACGCCGGUCGAUACUGCUGUGGCUAGGGUCCGGUAGAGGAGAGUGGAAUUCCCGGUGUAGCGGUGAAAUGCGCAGAUAUCGGGAGGAACACCAGUAGCGAAGGCGGCUCUCUGGGCCGGUACCGACGCUGAGGAGCGAAAGCUAGGGGAGCAAACAGGAUUAGAUACCCUGGUAGUCCUAGCCGUAAACGUUGGGCACUAGGUGUGGCGGAUUCAUUGACAUCUGCCGUGCCGGCGCUAACGCAUUAAGUGCCCCGCCUGGGGAGUACGG